GAUGAACGCUGGCGGCGUGCUUAACACAUGCAAGUCGAACGGAAAGGCCCAAGCUUGCUUGGGUACUCGAGUGGCGAACGGGUGAGUAACACGUGGGUGAUCUGCCCUGCACUUCGGGAUAAGCCUGGGAAACUGGGUCUAAUACCGGAUAGGACCACAUUUUGGAUGGUGUGGUGGAAAGUUUUUCGGUGUGGGAUGAGCUCGCGGCCUAUCAGCUUGUUGGUGGGGUAAUGGCCUACCAAGGCGUCGACGGGUAGCCGGCCUGAGAGGGUGUACGGCCACAUUGGGACUGAGAUACGGCCCAGACUCCUACGCGAGGCAGCAGUGGGGAAUAUUGCACAAUGGGCGCAAGCCUGAUGCAGCGACGCCGCGUGGGGGAUGACGGCCUUCGGGUUGUAAACUCCUUUCGCUAGGGACGAAGCGUUUUUGUGACGGUACCUGGAGAAGAAGCACCGGCUAACUACGUG
rnacentral:rRNA from 1 species